GGUUACCUUGUUACGACUUCACCCCAGUCAUGAACCACACCGUGGUAAACGCCCUCCCUAAGGUUAGACUAUCUACUUCUGGUGAAUCCACUUCCAUGGUGUGACGGGCGGUGUGUACAAGACCCGAGAACGUAUUCACCGCGGCAUGCUGAUCCGCGAUUACUAGCGAUUCCGACUUCAUGGAGUCGAGUUGCAGACUCCAAUCCGGACUACGAGAAACUUUCUAGGGAUUAGCACCUCCUCCCGGCUUAGCGUCCGUCUGUAUUCCCCAUUGUUGGCACGUGUGUAGCCCUACUCG
rnacentral:rRNA from 1 species